rnacentral:rRNA from 1 species
UACGUAGGGGGCAAGCGUUGUCCGGAAUCAUUGGGCGUAAAGCGCGUGUAGGCGGCCAGAUAAGUCCGCUGUGAAAUCUCGAGGCUCAACUUCGAGCUGUCGGUGGAAACUGUCUGGCUAGAGUCCGGAAGAGGAGAAUGGAAUUCCUGGUGUAGCGGUGAAAUGCGCAGAUAUCAGGAAGAACACCCGUAGCGAAGGCAGCUCGCUGGGACGUGACUGACGCUGAGACGCGAAAGCGUGGGGAGCAAACAGG